rnacentral:rRNA from 1 species
UACGAAGGGGGCUAGCGUUGCUCGGAAUGACUGGGCGUAAAGGGCGCGUAGGCGGAUGGCACAGUCAGAUGUGAAAUUCCCGGGCUUAACCUGGGGGCUGCAUUUGAUACGUGUGAUCUAGAGUGAGGAAGAGGGUCGUGGAAUUCCCAGUGUAGAGGUGAAAUUCGUAGAUAUUGGGAAGAACACCGGUGGCGAAGGCGGCGACCUGGACCGGAACUGACGCUGAUGACGCGAAAGCGUGGGUAGCAAACAGG